AGUAGCACGCUCCACAGUUUCCAGAGUUCUCCGCACACAGCAGAACAGAACACACCAAAGACCCUUCCCAACAUACUGUGACACAACAAAACUGAGAAGCAGAGCCAACAGGAGCACCUCACUGGGAGAGCCCAAUAGUUCAUCAGGAUUUAAUGAUAAACACCUGGCAGCCCUACGUCAUGCCUGUGUGGGACUGACUUCACAGCUGUGAUUAACGAGCUUAAAGAUGCCAGAAGCACCCAGCAGCAUUUCCCCCACCAAAAAAAAAAUAAUGUGGACACCAAUAGAAAUGCUGCCCUCCGCACAGAGCACCUCGUCAUGCUGGUGUCAGGCAUCAGAACCAUAAAGCUUGCAGGUCCACUGAAGUGUGCUGAACCUUGAUCCUGGAAGUGCUGUCACACAGAGUGAAAAUGAGAUCAUCAAGAGCAUGCGAAGAGUGGGUAUGUGUGAAAAGAACUGCAGACUGAGCAGCUUAAAAUUGGAUUGCUUGAGCAAAAAACCACUCUCUUCCUGCUUGAAAUCAUUCAGGACUGAAUCCUGACCUCAAGGUAAAGCACAGAAAACAGGAUUUGAAGAGAAGGGGCUCUUCAGCUGACUACAGGAGCAAGUUCUCCUUUCCGAAGUCCAAGGGCACCAGAAACAUGGUUUUACAAUGUAGCCCUAUAGCUGCUUGUGUAUUCGAUUUAUCUGAACCAUCCACAGGCCGUCUGGUUACAAAUUUACUGAAUUUCUUGUCCUCUCACUAUUUCACCAAAUGCAGUGAGAACUUCACCAGAGCACAGAUCUGCAGGAAACACCUUGAGACAUCUGUCAGGGAAAUACCUUCAACAUAGACAGCCCUGUGCAGCUGAUCCAGUCUGGUUUCUGCCAGCCUGGCAAUUUGAAAACCUCUCAUCUAAUGCUUACCUGGAACAAUGGAUGGUCGGAGAUGCACUGUGGCUUGAACAGUUAAGCUGUAAAGAUUUUAAAUGCUCUUUCUUAGCAAAGGUCUAUAUUACUUUCACAGUGAGCGACAGUAUCUUGGAGAACACUUACAAGCAAACUGAAAGAAGAAGGCAUUUUUGGUUUAGAAGUCCUGAGUGGUCUCAGUGGGCUUUCUCUCUAUUGCCAGAUGAAGAACUGCUUGGAAAGCUUACUGGGCACAAGGUGAAAACUCCUAUGCACACUGUAGACAACAGAGCAAGUCAGAAACUGCUUCAGUGUGGAAGAAGAGUGGGAGAAUGUGUCACAAGACCGGUAGUUUCAGUCCAGCCCUGAAGCUCUUCUGCCUCUAAGAUCAGCCACUCUGCUGCUGUGGUGAAGAAAUUAGCCCCAUUUACCAGAGCAAAUGAGGCCAAGCUCUCCCCAACCUCUCCUCCUGAGCACUGGAGCAGGAUCUAAGGCAGCCUCUUCAGCACAAUGAGAAGAUUUACAGUGCAGGCACUGGGUGGGGCUUGAACAUGGACAUGGACCACAAUUAACUGAGAGCCCGAGGGACUCUUCCUCAGUGAAAGCGUGUUAAUACAACCCUAAAGUGCUGGAGCACCUUGACGGCGCUCUUUAACCAGGUUGAGAUGACCUAUCAGAAAAUGUGAGAUGACUGUGGAUAAAUGAUCCAUAUGCUGAAUAUCUAGGCACUUAAUGAAAAAUUUCCCUUAAUAGAAAAAUUUUCCCUGCCCCAUACUUUUUAUUGACUACUUUUGUAUAAGUGUACCCAUUUAAUAGCAAUUUUCAUUGAGUCAUUUUCUAUGUAACAUCAACUGAAAAUCGCUUAUUUCCUGCUCCAAACAGCAAUUAAUGGCAAUUAUUUUACACAUCACCAUGCACUGCUACAGAUUUUUCAAUUUUCCACUCAGCUUCUCUAUAUAUGUAUUUAUUUUUUUUUUAGUUUAAUUUCAUCAUUUUCAACUAUUCAAAACCAGACACUGAAGUGGUGAUUUCAUCUUUUUUUUUUUUUUCAAAAGGAAUCAAAAAUAUCCAACCAUUAGAGCAGCAGGAACUAUAUAAACAAAAGAAUAAAAAGAAUGCACCUUUGUGUCUCUGAUUUUGAUUUUAACUGAAGGAAUGACAAUAUUCAUAACAGAAAACCUAAGACAUUGUUGUAUUAUACAGGAAUGGAUAUAUGACUUUAUUAACGCUACAAACACCAGCCCUUUGCAUUGUACUUUUCUUGUGAUGAGGUGGCAAAUUUGGCACUCCAGGACUCCUUUCUCCUGAUGGUACUGAAUGGUACACUGUCAAGAUCGUAUGAUUGCGAGAUCACGGUCAGAGCUCUGCAGUGCAGCGAAAACUGGAUCCCAGGAGUGAUUCCAGGAAGAGUCAAUGCUUUACUUCAACUUAGAUCUGGUCCAGCUUGCUCAAGGCUAAAGAAGGAGCAGAACCAUCUGAAA